CGGCGAGCGAACGGGGAGCAGCCCAGAGCCUGAAUCAGUAUGUGUGUUAGUGGAAGCGUCUGGAAAGGCGCGCGAUACAGGGUGACAGCCCCGUACACAAAAAUGCACAUGCUGUGAGCUCGAUGAGUAGGGCGGGACACGUGGUAUCCUGUCUGAAUAUGGGGGGACCAUCCUCCAAGGCUAAAUACUCCUGACUGACCGAUAGUGAACCAGUACCGUGAGGGAAAGGCGAAAAGAACCCCGGCGAGGGGAGUGAAAAAGAACCUGAAACCGUGUACGUACAAGCAGUGGGAGCACGCUUAGGCGUGUGACUGCGUACCUUUUGUAUAAUGGGUCAGCGACUUAUAUUCUGUAGCAAGGUUAACCGAAUAGGGGAGCCGAAGGGAAACCGAGUCUUAACUGGGCGUUAAGUUGCAGGGUAUAGACCCGAAACCCGGUGAUCUAGCCAUGGGCAGGUUGAAGGUUGGGUAACACUAACUGGAGGACCGAACCGACUAAUGUUGAAAAAUUAGCGGAUGACUUGUGGCUGGGGGUGAAAGGCCAAUCAAACCGGGAGAUAGCUGGUUCUCCCCGAAAGCUAUUUAGGUAGCGCCUCGUGAAUUCAUCUCCGGGGGUAGAGCACUGUUUCGGCAAGGGGGUCAUCCCGACUUACCAACCCGAUGCAAACUGCGAAUACCGGAGAAUGUUAUCACGGGAGACACACGGCGGGUGCUAACGUCCGUCGUGAAGAGGGAAACAACCCAGACCGCCAGCUAAGGUCCCAAAGUCAUGGUUAAGUGGGAAACGAUGUGGGAAGGCCCAGACAGCCAGGAUGUUGGCUUAGAAGCAGCCAUCAUUUAAAGAAAGCGUAAUAGCUCACUGGUCGAGUCGGCCUGCGCGGAAGAUGUAACGGGGCUAAACCAUGCAC
rnacentral:rRNA from 1 species